rnacentral:tRNA from 1 species
GCGCCCGUAGCUCAGUUGGCAGAGCAGCUGACUCUUAAUCAGCGGGUCCGGGGUUCGAAUCCCUGCGGGCGCACCA